rnacentral:rRNA from 1 species
CGCCUGGGGAGUACGGUCGCAAGAUUAAAACUCAAAGGAAUUGACGGGGACCCGCACAAGCGGUGGAUGAUGUGGAUUAAUUCGAUGCAACGCGAAGAACCUUACCUGGUCUUGACAUGUACGGAAUCCUCCAGAGACGGAGGAGUGCCUUCGGGAGCCGUAACACAGGUGCUGCAUGGCUGUCGUCAGCUCGUGUCGUGAGAUGUUGGGUUAAGUCCCGCAACGAGCGCAACCCUUGUCAUUAGUUGCCAUCAUUCAGUUGGGCACUCUAAUGAGACUGCCGGUGACAAGCCGGAGGAAGGUGGGGAUGACGUCAAGUCCUCAUGGCCCUUAUGACCAGGGCUUCACACGUCAUACAAUGGUCGGUACAGAGGGUAGCCAAGCCGCGAGGCGGAGCCAAUCUCACAAAACCGAUCGUAGUCCGGAUUGCACUCUGCAACUCGAGUGCAUGAAGUCGGAAUCGCUAGUAAUCGCAGGUCAGCAUACUGCGGUGAAUACGUUCCCGGGUCUUGUACACACCGCCCGUCACACCAUGGGAGUGGGGGAUACCAGAAGUAGGUAGGGUAACCGCAAGGAGUCCGCUUACCACGGUAUGCUUCAUGACUGGGGUGAAGUCGUAACAAGGUAGCCGUAGGGGAACCUGCGGCUGGAUCACCUCCUUUCUAGA